CACGUACUGUGCGAACGUUAUUCGGAAUCACUGGGCUUAAAGGGUGCGUAGGCGGCGAUUCAAGUCAGAUGUGAAAUGCCUGAGCUCAACUGAGGCAUUGCGUUUGAAACUGAUUCGCUUGAGUAUUUCAGGGGUGUGCGGAACUGCCAGUGGAGCGGUGAAAUGUGUUGAUAUUGGCAGGAACACCGGAGGCGAAAGCGGCACACUGGGGAAUAACUGACGCUGAGGCACGAAAGCCAGGGGAGCGAACGGG
rnacentral:rRNA from 1 species